GAUGAACGCUGGCGGCGUGCCUAAUACAUGCAAGUCGAGCGAACAGACGAGGAGCUUGCUCCUCUGACGUUAGCGGCGGACGGGUGAGUAACACGUGGAUAACCUACCUAUAAUACUGGGAUAACUUCGGGAAACCGGAGCUAAUACCGGAUAAUAUAUUGAACCGCAUGGUUCAAUAGUGAAAGACGGUUUUGCUGUCACUUAUAGAUGGAUCCGCGCCGCAUUAGCUAGUUGGUAAGGUAACGGCUUACCAAGGCAACGAUGCGUAGCCGACCUGUGAGGGUGAUCGGCCACACUGGAACUGAGACACGGUCCAGACUCCUACGGGAGGCAGCAGUAGGGAAUCUUCCGCAAUGGGCGAAAGCCUGACGGAGCAACGCCGCGUGAGUGAUGAAGGUCUUCGGAUCGUAAAACUCUGUUAUUAGGGAAGAACAAAUGUGUAAGUAACUAUGCACGUCUUGACGGUACCUAAUCAGAAAGCCACGGCUAACUACGUG
rnacentral:rRNA from 1 species